rnacentral:tRNA from 1 species
AUUUUAUUAGUAUAGAUAAAGUAUAUUUAACUUCCAAUUAAAAGGCUUGAAACCAAAUAAAAUA